rnacentral:rRNA from 1 species
AGUCAAGUAAUUAAGUGCAUGUGGUGGAUGCCUUGGCAGUCAGAGGCGAUGAAAGACGUGAUAGCCUGCGAAAAGCUCCGGGGAGGCGGCAAAUAUCCUUUGAUCCGGAGAUGUCUGAAUGGGGGAACCCACCUACUUUAAGGUAGGUAUUGCAACAUGAAUACAUAGUGUUGCAAGGCGAACGAGGGGAAGUGAAACAUCUCAGUACCCUUAGGAAAAGAAAUCAAUUGAGAUUCCCUCAGUAGCGGCGAGCGAACGGGGAUCAGCCCAUUAAGUUAUGUGUGUUUUAGUGGAACGCUCUGGGAAGUGCGAACGUAGAGGGUGAUAUUCCCGUACACGAAAGGGCACACAUAAUGAUGACGAGUAGGGCGAGGCACGUGAAACCUUGUCUGAAUAUGGGGGGACCAUCCUCCAAGGCUAAAUACUCCUGACUGACCGAUAGUGAACCAGUACCGUGAGGGAAAGGCGAAAAGAACCCCUGUGAGGGGAGUGAAAUAGAUCCUGAAACCGCAUGCAUACAAGCAGUGGGAGCACCUUCGUGGUGUGACUGCGUACCUUUUGUAUAAUGGGUCAGCGACUUAUAUUCAGUAGCGAGGUUAACCGUAUAGGGGAGCCGUAGAGAAAUCGAGUCUUAAUAG